GACGAACGCUGGCGGCGUGCUUAACACAUGCAAGUCGAGCGGUAAGGCCCUUUCGGGGGUACACGAGCGGCGAACGGGUGAGUAACACGUGGGUGACCUGCCCUCAGCUCUGGGAUAAGCCUGGGAAACCGGGUCUAAUACCGGAUAUGACUCCAUGACGCAUGUUGUGGGGUGGAAAGCCUUGUGCGGCUGAGGAUGGGCCCGCGGCCUAUCAGCUUGUUGGUGGGGUGAUGGCCUACCAAGGCGACGACGGGUAGCCGGCCUGAGAGGGCGACCGGCCACACUGGGACUGAGACACGGCCCAGACUCCUACGGGAGGCAGCAGUGGGGAAUCUUGCGACAAGU
rnacentral:rRNA from 1 species